rnacentral:rRNA from 1 species
CGUAGGUAACCUGCCCCGGAGCGGGGGAGUAACAUUUGGAAACAGAUGCUAAUACCGCAUAACAACAAAAGCCACAUGGCGUUUUGUUUGAAAGAUGGCUUUGGCUAUCACUCUGGGAUGGACCUGCGGUGCAUUAGCUAGUUGGUAAGGUAACGGCUUACCAAGGCGAUGAUGCAUAGCCGAGUUGAGAGACUGAUCGGCCACAAUGGAACUGAGACACGGUCCAUACUCCUACGGGAGGCAGCAG